rnacentral:lncRNA from 1 species
GCAGAGCAGUCUGCUGGCAAGAGCCUGGACAGGCCCUAGAGAACGAAGAGGACGAAGAUGACAAGCAGCUUUGAAUUCCUUCUGUUUUCAUGUUGAGCAGCAGCUGCUGCUAGAGCCUGGUAUGUCUGAGAUGAUUCCCACUCAUCACUGACUCUCUUGGGUGAGAGGAAGCGCCACACUCAUCCCUAGAAGAGUAUGAAGAAAAAGUGGAGUGAUUCAGAAUUGAGAGCAUCAUUCUGUCCGUGGGAGCUCUCUGCUCAAAGGUUCUUGAGAGCCUCCAGGGUGAAGCAAGGCAUGGAAAGAGAUGUGCUUCACCCACUGAGGCCUCUACAAAAGCUGCAAAUAAUUCUUCCUAGAAAGUAACUCCCCGGCAGUGAAAACUUAGUUUAAGGUACAAUGAUGGAUGAAUAUAGGAUCAAAUAUUUAUCUUUAAUUAAACAUAUUCAUGGCCACACACACAUGCAGGCUGAAAACUCAAAUCACUUUGUAUGUGACAUGUUUAAUGGUGUGUGAUUGUACCAACUCCAUUACAACUGUUCUAUGUAUCAGUCUAUGUAUUCCCCAUGAGAAUCCUGGAAGCUAAACCCUGUUUUUCUCUUUUACAGAAGUGGGAACUCUUGCCCGGAGAGAUUAUUUAGCUGGGCCAAGGUCACACAGUACAGAAAAGACAGAACCAGGUUGUCAAGGUCUUUUCCUCCCUUGCUUUUUACAAGAAAGAGACAUACCUUUUCUUUUCUCUUGAGAACAGUGUGCUGCUCUAUGCCCCAGUUGGCCUUGGACCUGACAAUUCUCAGCUUUCUUGGGUUAUAGAUAUGAGCCACUCUUCUCAGUGGAAGCAGUCAUAAUCUUCACUUUCCAAAAAUUAACAGUGAGAUUAGACCCCUUCUCACCUUCUCCUAUCUUCCUUCCACCCUUCUCCAGGGCCACUGACCUCACUGAUUUUAUAACACAUGGGUCCUUCUAGUCUUGUUUGCAUGUGUUGCUCCAAAAAUGUACCCAUAAAUACUAUGCACAAUUAUCUUAGAGUUCCAAGUAUGCUACUAAGCAUAGAUUGGUUUUCAGCUUGCUUUUUCUUUCCCCUUCAACACUGAUCUAUAGGUCUUAUGUGGUAGAUCAGCGGUAUAGCUCUUGCUUACCUUGCAUGGACAACUGGUUCACCACUAGCAAUGCAACCCCACCCUACCCCCCCAAAAAACCCACAGAAACAAAAGGCAGAGAUAAAGUAAAUGGAAAGGCCACCUCUAUACACACAGAUCUAAUUCAUUCCUCUUCAGAAGGGUUGACUUUCAGAAUCUCCAGAGCGAAUUUCAACUCCUACACAUGGGCACACUCCCAACUUCCCCUUUCCUCCCUUUCCCUCAGUAGUAGAUGUUGAGAGCUCAAUUUAUGUUUAGCUGUUUGCCUGUGCCCAGGCUGAGUCUCCACCCCUGGUAACCCCCCUCAGUAUUGGACAGAGGAAGAAAAGAAUAGUUUGAAUGUGUGCUCCCAGCACUAGCAAACAUUCAAACCAUUUUAGCCAAAUAUCACAGUCAAGCCAGGCGUAAGCCUGUGCCACAGCAGGACAAGGGGCUACAGGGUCAGAACAAUGGCAAGGUAAAGCUGACUGGAUCAUCGGCCCUUCCUCAAAUUUGGACUCACAAGCCCUUCCCAGGGAUCCGCACCAAUGGCCAGGACCCAGAGGUUAUAACGUCAAGAUUCCCUUUUGGUAGUUCCCUUUGUGGUCCUAUGGAUAAGUCAGCCUGGGGUCAGCUUCAUUGCCUUUCUGGGUGUUUGAUUGCCUUUCUGGAGUCUUUUCCCUCCCAAGUCAGAUGGAGUUGGCUUUGGAACGGCUGAUUCUCUCUUCAGAACCUGCCCUUUUUUUUUCCUUUACCGGAGACAAUAAGAAAGCUUAUUAGGCUGCCCUGGAAAUUUUGUUUCCAUCGUUGUCUCUUUAACAAUCACUUAUUGUCCCAGCCUUUGAGCCUGCUGGGUUGUCCGUUUCGAAUUAAGUGAAGCAGGAAGGCUAUGCUGUCCUCGUCCCCGCCUGAAUAGAUUGUUUCCCUAUGAUUGAUGUUUAUCCUUGUGCCCCUCUUCAGAAAAGGGGGACAUCAAAUGACAUCGACACGAAGAAGCCAGCAGACCUCGGGACCCGAGGGUACCAAGUACUAGUGUACCUUAGUCCGACAGCACCGGGUCACCUCCCGCAUAAGAUGCCACAAUAGGGGACGCCAAGAGCGGUUGUUAGGAUUAUUACUCACCCUUGGAAGGAAUCACCGUGGUGAAAACUUCAAUAUUCUCAUCACUGCAGCUGUAGAUCUGAUGCAUGGUCUCAGCCCCCUGCCCUGCAGGGUGUCCGGGAGCCCGUGGCCUCUCUCUGGAGCCCUAGUCCCAGGGUCUCCUAAGCCAGUCUGGCUCUGUGAUCAUUGUGCAGGUCCACAAAAGGCAGGCUGCCUGUGCCUCUCAUGACAGUCUCACCGCAGCAACAUUUCCUAAUCCCAUCUGUCUUUUUUUUUUUCUUUCUUUCUUUCUUUCUUAAAUGACUCCUAUUAUUGCAAACCUUUGAUUGAACACGGAGCCUUCCGUCUCUCCCUCUCAGCUAGGAUGUACUUAACAAUUUUAUUUUCCAGUGUCUGCCGCAGUGAAUUUGGAAGUCUUUUGUGAAGUGACGAAGUGAAUUCGCCUACUCAGUUAGCGCACAGCUUGGCUGGAGGAUUUCACAGAAGAGGAAUAGACGAAACGUCAGUUUUGCUAUCAGUGUGCCCGGGUCUCAUUCCAGAAAGGAAGGGCUUUUUCUCCUCCUCCAGGGGAACAGGAUCUUCAUUUGUCAUAUGUUAACUCCGCUCCCUUCAAAGUUUCUAUUUUAAAUAAAAGGACUGUUUUUUCACCACAUAUUUUUCUCAAUCCACUUUGACAACAAGGCUUACAUUUCAGGAGGUGAGAGUUUAGUGUUUCUUUGUACAACCCUACAGGUAUGCAUAGUCACGCAACAGGCAGUGCACACACCAAGGGACCCGUUUAUAGGAUAGUUAUAUUUUAUUAUCUUCUAUAUUGGAAUGUAUUUAUUGCCUUAUCUUUUUAUGUUAUAUAGUCUAUGGGUAUGCUAUAUUUUCCUCAUAUAAUCUUUCCUAAUAUAUACACAAAUAAAUGUCAUGGUAGCUAUACAUUUCAUAAACAUAUAUAAGCAUAUGCAUUUUAUCCAAUCCCACUACUUUUUAUUAUGCUACACAGUUUCACACCAUAAGACUGAUGGAGUGUAAUGAAAUUAACAGUGACAGCUGCCCUAUUAAAUAUUAGUUACAAGUCAUGGAGCUAGCUAUAUGAUAUCAUUGAGUAUCUAUAACUAACCAAUGGCUCUAGCUAAUUAUUAUUUUACCGUGGUAUUCUCAAGAAACUGAAGUAUGAAGACUUUAGCUUCUUUAAUGAUUAAAAUAGCUAAUUUGCACCAAAAUUGGAUUUAAUCUCUAGAUUGACUGAAAAGUUAAUAAACUAGCUCCUC